GAAAAAUAGGCUUCGCUUGAGUUUGUUCUAAGCACCGAGCCGAGCCUCCGCGUCCAAGCCAGCUCGUCAAGCCAGCUCGUCGUCCCCGUCGGAGGAGAACCUGUUUAUAUUCUUGUGAGGAAGAAACGUUCCCAUCCCCGUCAUUGAGGAAUUCGGAAUCGGGGAUCGAGUACAUCUCCACUUCUUCCCAGGCGGCCAGGCCCUGGCCCGCGGCCGCACCGCACCGUAGUUUGUUCCUUCCGCAAGGAAGCGAGAGAAAAUCGAGUGAAAAGGAAGGGGAAAUAAGGCUGAAUCACAGUUUCUGGAUCGGAGGAGCAUCCCCGCCUAGGUCUCUGCAGCCAUGGUUCGCGGAUCGCUCGGCAAGCUUGCAUCGCGCGCCCUCUCCGUCGCCGGGAGAUGGCAGCACCAGCAGCUCCGCCGCCUCAACAUCCACGAGUACCAGGGCGCGGAGUUGAUGGGUAAAUACGGGAUCAACGUGCCCAGGGGCGCGGCGGCUGGGUCCGUACACGAGGUCAAGGACGCCUUGAAGAACAUGUUCCCCAGCGAGAAAGAGAUAGUUGUUAAAAGUCAAAUCCUUGCUGGUGGCCGAGGGCUGGGAACUUUCAAAAGCGGACUGCAAGGUGGUGUCCAUAUUGUUAAGGCUGAGGAAGCUGAAUUGAUUGCAAGUAAAAUGUUAGGCCAGAUUCUGAUAACGAAACAAACUGGUCCAGAGGGAAAGAUUGUGAGCAAGGUCUACUUGUGUGAGAAACUAUCUCUUACUAAUGAGAUGUACUUCGCCAUCACCCUUGAUAGGAAAACUGCUGGUCCGCUCAUUAUUGCUUGCAGCAAGGGAGGAACCAGUAUUGAAGAUCUUGCGGAGAAGUAUCCUGAUAUGAUUAUUAAGGUUCCUAUUGAUGUAUUUAAAGGAAUCACAGAUGAGGAUGCAGCUAAAGUUGUUGAUGGUCUAGCUCUAAAGGCAGCGGAUAGGCAGUCUUCUAUAGAACAGAUUAAGAAGCUGUAUGAACUUUUCUGCAAGUGUGAUUGCACAUUGCUGGAGAUAAAUCCUCUGGCGGAGACAGCUGACAACAAGCUUGUUGCUGCUGAUGCAAAAUUGAACUUUGAUGAUAAUGCUGCAUUUAGACAGAAAGAAAUAUUUGCACUGCGUGAUACAACUCAGGAAGACCCCAGGGAGGUCGCUGCUGCCAAAGCAGAUUUGAACUAUAUUGGUCUUGAUGGAGAGAUUGGUUGCAUGGUGAAUGGAGCAGGAUUGGCCAUGGCGACCAUGGAUAUUAUAAAGUUGCAUGGUGGUACGCCCGCCAAUUUUCUUGAUGUCGGUGGAAGUGCAUCAGAGGGGCAGGUUGUGGAAGCUUUUAAGAUACUGACUUCAGAUGAUAGAGUGAAGGCAAUUCUAGUGAACAUUUUUGGUGGCAUUAUGAAAUGUGAUGUGAUAGCAAGUGGAAUUGUUAAUGCUGCCAAACAGGUUGACCUGAAAGUUCCUGUUGUUGUUCGGUUGGAAGGCACCAAUGUAGACCAAGGAAAGAGGAUUCUUAAGGAAAGUGGAAUGACUUUGAUCACUGCAGAAGAUCUUGAUGAUGCGGCAGAGAAAGCUGUAAAAGCAUCCGUCAAAUAACUAGUGUAUCAAUCUGAAGUUUCUUUUUUUUUCACUGGUACAAGAUGAGCAGUGCUCUUUUACGGAUUUCGAUUUGGAGCAGAAGUCGUGAACUGCAACGUUUUUGAAAUGGUUUGACUCUGAUGUCACUCAAGCGCGAUGGACAGGUGGAGCAUGCUGAAUAGUUCGCAUUUUUUGCAAGGAUGAUGCUAUCUAGCUAAAAUUUAUCAUACGCACGCACAAAGGAAAUAACAUGUGUGCCUGCAGCACAUCGGGACAUGCAAUCCCCUGUUAAUAUUUUUAAUUAGAUGGAGCCAACAUUGCGUCCAACCAAUCUCAUACAGGAGGGAUGGAACACGCGUCUAAGCACAUAUAUCUACUACUCUAUAAGACUCUAAUGUAGACCACUGUGCAUUGUGGUUCUGCCUCUCUCCGACAGGUAGGCCCAAAACGUCGUUUCAGCCGUCGUGAUAUCCUGACCCCUGGGAUGGGAUAUCCUAGCCUAAGGCUUAAUAGAAUUAAUAAAGUAUUCA